rnacentral:misc_RNA from 1 species
AACGCACAUUGCGCCCGCCAGUAUUCUGGCGGGCAUGCCUGUCCGAGCGUCAUUUCAACCCUCAGAUCUCCUUUACGGAGAACUGGCGUUGGGGACCGGCCCUCCUUGCGGGGGCCGCCUCCGAAAUAUAGUGGCGGUCUCGCCGCAGCCUCCCCUGCGUAGUAGCACACCUCGCACCGGAGAGCGGCGCGGCCAUGCCGUAAAACCCCCCACUUUAUCAAGGUUGACCUCGGAUCAGGUAGGAAUACCCGCUGAACUUAA